UUUGGUUGGCCUCCAGAUGAUCCAAUUAAUCCAAAUAUUCCUUAAAUAUAGACUUGGUGUACAGUAUGUCAUUAUAUACAUGGGUUCACUGCCAAUUUUUUCAUUUUAUGCAUCUACUUCUACUACUUACUAAAGCUAGAGGGUUUGGAGUACUGUUCAUAAGAGAAAACCCGCAAGAGCCGGGUCACGGGUCGGGUUUGGGUCGGUUUUUCCGGUGCCUACACAGAAGGUCCGAAAAUGGUAGCUUCCAGGUAAAUAGUACGACCAAUCUUCUCUGCAGAUCCUCUCUCUGCACCAAAUCUUCUUGCUCUCGGCUGGGAGAUUGAGAAGGACAGUAGCUUCCACUCCUACCAUCUGCACCUCAAGAUUCUCUCUCUGAACCAAAUCCUUUUCAGUUUCUUUCUUCUUUUUUCCAUCACAAACAAAGAAACCCAACAAGCCUCUCACCAUGCUCUACUACAUCACCCAUCAUGUCUCUAUCCUUUGCUGUCGUUUUAGAGCACCGGUGAGAAGGGGCGAAAUGGAAGUGAGGGUUUGCGUGAGAGAAGAGAAAUCAGCGAGGGUCCACGGCCACGGAAAAUGGAAGAGAUGCAACGGUUCAUCAUUGUUGCCAUUUCCAAAUCUGACAUCAAAACUAUACAUGGAAGAUGAUAAACCCAUUGCGUGUCCAAUUUUUGAUAAAAGUAGUAAAGGCAUCAAAGAGGAGUUAGGUGAUGAACGGCUCUCCAUGGAUAUGAAGAAUGAAGAAGAAGAUGAAGAGGUUAUCAAAUUGUGAUCAGAAGAUAAUAUAUUUUCAUACACUGCUGCUGGGGAUUUCACACCGCAUGUGGUGACUCAUCGAGAUGAACAGGAACAAAAUGGUUCAGAGAGAGGAUUGAACAACUACAAAUACUUAAAGUGGUCCAAAUACUUAAAGUUAAUGGUGAUGCAUUAACUUGCGUUUUGGUUUGAUUCUGUAACAGUUUAUGUUGGUGUUAGACAUACAUAAUGCUUUGAAGGUAGUGAAGCAUGGACCUUAUGCGGGAAAAGCUGCAAUUGGGGGUCCAUUUCACCUUACCAACCAUCAUGGGAAGCACGUUACUGAAAAGGACUUCUUGGGGAAGUGGACAGUGAUGUACUGGAUUUACUCACUGCCCAAAUAUCUGCCCUGAUGAACUACAGAAGUUAGCAGAUGCAGUUGAUAAAAUAAGUAAGCUUUUGUUGGUGAUUUUCUUUGUGUAGCAAACUGUGUUUUAUACAUUUCAGAGCAAGAUAUUAUCUAUUUCUCUUAGUUGUUCGAUGUACUCAUAGCUGCAUCCUUAUACUAAUCAGUUAUAUUUACUUUAACUUUAUACUCGAUACUUUAAUGUAGUACCUAUGUUUUCUUGCAAGGAGGGAGUGGUGUGUGGGAGUUGAUUGGCGGAGGCUGUGCCGGUGCGAGCAAAUCACGCGUGCUCAUGAUGUUUUCGCUGAGAUGAUUGAUGCAGGCUGUAAUCCUAAUGCGGUUACUUUCAAUAGUUUUAUACUUGAUGACCAGGUUCUCAUUGUUUAUCCUAUGGAAGUUACUUUCAAUAGUUGUAAUCCUCAUUGAUGACCAGGUUCAAUUUCUUUAUCUAUGGAAGUUAUUUUCACACUUGAUUUUCACUAAUGUCUGAUGCUAAGGGUAGCAAUCCAGUGAGUUUUUAUUUAGGUAGCCUAAUAACUUAGUCAUGAGUGGCCUCUUACUCCAACUUGAUCUUCUGGUAUGAAUCUUUGAUGUCACUAAAUCUUUUGUGAACUGCUUUGGUUUCUACUUGAUACACUAUUUUGUAUUACUGCCUUAAAUCAUAAAUGCUAAAAUUCCCUUUUGCCAGUAAUAGGGAGUUAACUUUCAUCAUGCUAUUUUUAGGAUGAACCAAGAAAGAUGAGCAUAUACCGUGAAGAGGCGGCGAUAGAUACUCUUAUUUAAUGCCUGAGAAACACAGAUUUCUCUGCUACACAACUAGCAGUUGUAGAGACAAUCAUGUCACUGCAAAGAAGGUUCAGCUUCUCUGUAAAACCUCUUAUCAGAGAAAUCCUUCUUAAACAAGCAGACACAGACAAAAGUUCCAGAAGUUUUGUACCUCUGGAUCAGAUGAGCCCAGAGAUUUAAAUUACUCCAACACCUACACUGUGAUGUGCAAAAAUCCACCUUUGUUGAACCCAUCUAUUUAUGGUUCAUGGAAUUGAAGGAGAAGUAGAAAUUAGCAUUAGCAAGAAGUAGCAUGUUGAAUUGAAGGAGAUGGAACUAGCAUCACAAGAAGGAAUUGAAGGAGGAUUGGAAAUUAGCAUCAGCAAGAAGUAGCAUAUGGAAUUGAAGGAGAUGGAAGUAGCAUCACAAGAAGAAAUUGAGCAGUUUUCGUUUGAGAGAGAGAAUGGAAAAAAUGAAGAAAUGUGAGCCAAGUAUAUUUGUACUCAUUUAUCUUUGUGUAAAAAACACAAUUAAUUGAUCAUUUUCCCCCCUUAUUUUGUAUUAAAAUCCCAAUAUCUGUACUUUGGAGCUUUUUUCUUUCCAGCUCCCACAAACGGUUGAUUGAUUUUAAAUAAAAAUGUACGCUUCAUGAAA